rnacentral:rRNA from 1 species
GCAAGUCGAGCGAACAGAUAAGGAGCUUGCUCCUUUGACGUUAGCGGCGGACGGGUGAGUAACACGUGGGUAACCUACCUAUAAGACUGGGAUAACUUCGGGAAACCGGAGCUAAUACCGGAUAAUAUUUCGAACCGCAUGGUUCGAUAGUGAAAGAUGGUUUUGCUAUCACUUAUAGAUGGACCCGCGCCGUAUUAGCUAGUUGGUAAGGUAACGGCUUACCAAGGCGACGAUACGUAGCCGACCUGAGAGGGUGAUCGGCCACACUGGAACUGAGACACGGUCCAGACUCCUACGGGAGGCAGCAGUAGGGAAUCUUCCGCAAUGGGCGAAAGCCUGACGGAGCAACGCCGCGUGAGUGAUGAAGGUCUUCGGAUCGUAAAACUCUGUUAUUAGGGAAGAACAUACGUGUAAGUAACUGUGCACGUCUUGACGGUACCUAAUCAGAAAGCCACGGCUAACUACGUGCCAGCAGCCGCGGUAAUACGUAGGUGGCAAGCGUUAUCCGGAAUUAUUGGGCGUAAAGCGCGCGUAGGCGGUUUUUUAAGUCUGAUGUGAAAGCCCACGGCUCAACCGUGGAGGGUCAUUGGAAACUGGAAAACUUGAGUGCAGAAGAGGAAAGUGGAAUUCCAUGUGUAGCGGUGAAAUGCGCAGAGAUAUGGAGGAACACCAGUGGCGAAGGCGACUUUCUGGUCUGUAACUGACGCUGAUGUGCGAAAGCGUGGGGAUCAAACAGGAUUAGAUACCCUGGUAGUCCACGCCGUAAACGAUGAGUGCUAAGUGUUAGGGGGUUUCCGCCCCUUAGUGCUGCAGCUAACGCAUUAAGCACUCCGCCUGGGGAGUACGACCGCAAGGUUGAAACUCAAAGGAAUUGACGGGGACCCGCACAAGCGGUGGAGCAUGUGGUUUAAUUCGAAGCAACGCGAGGAACCUUACCAAAUCAUGACAUCCUUUGACAACUCUAGAGAUAGAGCUUUCCCCUUCGGGGGACAAAGUGACAGGUGGUGCAUGGUUGUCGUCAGCUCGUGUCGUGAGAUGUUGGGUUAAGUCCCGCAACGAGCGCAACCCUUAAGCUUAGUUGCCAUCAUUAAGUUGGGCACUCUAAGUUGACUGCCGGUGACAAACCGGAGGAAGGUGGGGAUGACGUCAAAUCAUCAUGCCCCUUAUGAUUUGGGCUACACACGUGCUACAAUGGACAAUACAAAGGGCAGCGAAACCGCGAGGUCAAGCAAAUCCCAUAAAGUUGUUCUCAGUUCGGAUUGUAGUCUGCAACUCGACUACAUGAAGCUGGAAUCGCUAGUAAUCGUAGAUCAGCAUGCUACGGUGAAUACGUUCCCGGGUCUUGUACACACCGCCCGUCACACCACGAGAGUUUGUAACACCCGAAGCCGGUGGAGUAACCAUUGGAGCUAGCCGUCGA